ACUACCCGGGUAUCUAAUCCUGUUUGCUCCCCACGCUUUCGUGCGCAGGCGUCAGUGUUAUCCCAGGAGGCUGCCUUCGCCAUCGGUGUUCCUCCGCACAUGUCUACGCAUUUCCUUGCUACCUGUAGGAAUUCCACCUCCUCUGACACACCCUAGCUCGGUAGUUAAAUGCAGUUCCAAAGUUAAGCUCUAUGGGAUUCACAUCUUUCUUUCCAGACCGCCUGCGCGCUUCCGCCCAGUAAUUCCGAUUAACGCUUACCUACAUGUGCUAUGGCCUUUGCUGGCACAUCAGUUCGGUGCUUAUUCUGCAGUGCCGUCAGUUGCACAAGGUGUAUCCGAUACCCUGUUUCUUCCUGCCAAAGUGCUUUACAACCCGAAGGCCUUCAUCGCACACGCGGGAUGGCUGGAUCAGGGUUUCCCCCAUUGUCAAAAUUUACUGCUGCCCCGUAUA
rnacentral:misc_RNA from 1 species